AAAAAACACAAACCCUGAUUUCUGUGUCCAACAUUUGACCGUCUGUCUUAUUUGAAAAAAAUAUAUAAAAAAAAUUAAAAAGAUAAAUCACGCAUAAAAUAUUAAUCAUGUUUUAUCAUCUAACAACAAUAAAAAUACUAAUUAUAAAAAUAAUUCAUAUAAGACGGACAGUCAAACGUUACACGGAAACCUAGGGUUUAUUUUUUU
rfam:Oryza sativa Japonica Group DNA, chromosome 8, cultivar: Nipponbare, complete sequence.